UACGAAGGGUGCAAGCGUUACUCGGAAUUACUGGGCGUAAAGGGUGCGUAGGUGGUUUGUUAAGUCUGCUGUGAAAUCCCCGGGCUCAACCUGGGAAUGGCAGUGGAUACUGGCAAGCUAGAGUGCGGUAGAGGGUAGUGGAAUUCCCGGUGUAGCAGUGAAAUGCGUAGAGAUCGGGAGGAACACCAGUGGCGAAGGCGGCUACCUGGACCAGCACUGACACUGGAGCACGAAAGCGUGGGGAGCAAACAGG
rnacentral:rRNA from 1 species